rnacentral:rRNA from 2 species
AGUGGGGGAUAACAUUUGGAAACAGAUGCUAAUACCGCAUAGAUCCAAGAACCGCAUGGUUCUUGGCUGAAAGAUGGCGUAAGCUAUCGCUUUUGGAUGGACCCGCGGCGUAUUAGCUAGUUGGUGAGGUAAUGGCUCACCAAGGCGAUGAUACGUAGCCGAACUGAGAGGUUGAUCGGCCACAUUGGGACUGAGACACGGCCCAAACUCCUACGGGAGGCAGCAGUAGGGAAUCUUCCACAAUGGACGCGAGUCUGAUGGAGCAACGCCGCGUGAGUGAAGAAGGCUUUCGGGUCGUAAAACUCUGUUGUUGGAGAAGAAUGGUCG